CUACGGGCUGCAGCAGUGAGGAAUUUUGCGCAAUGGGGGAAACCCUGACGCAGCAACGCCGCGUGAGUGAUGAAGGCUUUCGAGUCGUAAAGCUCUGUCAAGUGGGAAGAAUCUAAUAAGCGCUAAUAUCGCUUUUUACUGACGGUACCACUGAAGGAAGCACCGGCUAACUCCGUGCCAGCAGCCGCGGUAAUACGGGGGGUGCAAGCGUUAUUCGGAAUCAUUGGGCGUAAAGGGCGCGUAGGCGGCUUCUUAAGUCAGAUGUGAAAGCCCGGGGCUUAACCCCGGAAGUGCAUUUGAAACUAAGGAGCUUGAGUAUGGGAGAGGGAAGUGGAAUUCCUGGUGUAGAGGUGAAAUUCGUAGAUAUCAGGAGGAACACCGGUGGCGAAGGCGACUUCCUGGACCAAUACUGACGCUGAGGCGCGAAGGCGUGGGGAGCAAACAGGAUUAGAUACCCCGGUAGUC
rnacentral:rRNA from 1 species